rnacentral:rRNA from 1 species
CCUACGUGAGUCAGCAGUGGGGGAUCUUGCACAAUGGAGGAAACUCUGAUGCAGCGACGCCGCGUGAGGGAAGACGGUCUUCGGAUUGUAAACCUCUGUCUUUGGGGAAGAAAAUGACGGUACCCAACGAUGAAGCUCCGGCUAACUACGUGCCAGCAGCCGCGGUCAUACGUAGGGCGCGAGCGUUGUCCGGAGUUACUGGGUGUAAAGGUAGCGUAGGCGGGCUUGUAAGUGGAAUGUUAAAUCUACCGGCUUAACUGGUAGCUGAGUUCGAAACUUUUUGUCUUGAGUGAAGUAGAGGCAGGCGGAAUUCCUAGUGGAGGGGGGAAAUGGGGAGAUAAUAGGAGGAACA